rnacentral:tRNA from 1 species
GGGGAUAUAGCUCAGUGGUAGAAUUCUUGCCUAGGAUGUGAAAGGCUCUGGGUUCAAUACCCCAGUUGUCCCCC